rnacentral:sRNA from 1 species
CUCUCACACUCACAUGCUGUCGUGCUCGCUCACACUCAUACCGUUGCACACUCACAUGCUCUCACACACUCUCACGGUGAAAUCUGUGCCUGCCACCACACUCGGGUUGUGAUGUGUGUUUCACUUUUAGCUCCUCUAAGGUUUUACUCACCCUGGCUCCACCAAACUGGAUUUUACCAUAGUCUAUACUUAAAUAUUGUUCAUCUCUUCUUCUACACAAAAGUAUUAAGAAUUUACCUGCCUGUAAGUUAUUGGAAUAUCCUGGGCAAAAGCAAAUAAAACUUUUCCUUUUCCCUUGUUCGACACCCCCUCAUCAGUGACCCCCACGACACGACCCCACCACCCUAUCUUUUCCCUUGUUUGACACCCCCUCAUCAGUGACCCCCACGACACGACCCCACCACCCUAUCUGGCUUGGCAUGUGAUGCUUCAGGAAGGGCACGGGGUUUACAUGGCUCCUGUUACCCUCUAAGCCUCAGAAAACAUUGGCACAGGCAGAGAGGAGAGCUGUCAUCUGAGUCUCUCUGUGGGAUCCUGGGCUCUUAGGGAAAGGCCAGACAGGGAGGGGCGGGAGAGAUUUCUGUGGCCUCCAAGAUUCCUGGGAAGGCGAAGUCUGGAUUUCCUUGGAGAGGAAGGAGGGCUUAGGCCAGCCACAUAAUUAGGGUGCAGUAGACAAACAGAAAUCAUUUCUUUUGGUCCCUCAUCUGCCUCAAGGCUGCGUUUGCUCCACAUGGCCGCACAGGCACUUGCGUCUGUGCCCUUCGGGGCUGGCAGAGAUGGAGGAGGAAGCCUUAAGCACCGUCUCUCCUGAUUAGCGCUCCACGCAGCUUCUCUUCACAGCCCCUCCCACCCACUGUGUCCCACUACUCAGACACAUGGGCCGUGGGCACAGAGGGAAAGGGACCUUGGGAAGAAUAGGGAGCCAAGCCACUCUUCACCCUCCCGGGUGUCGCCCAUAGUGGGGCACAUGGGGACACAGUGGCCACUCACCCCCUGCCACUGAGUCCCACAGUGCAGCUGCGCCUGUGGUCAGAUGCCACAGGGACACCAUAGCAUCCGUAGAGUGUGUCAUUUGCUUGGUGCACGAGGGCCGGAUGAUGUCCCCAGAGGCUCACUGGCUUCCCACAGCACAGAGGGACCUGGCACCGCUACCCCAAGAUGGAAUUGUUAAAACUACGUCCAUUUUUAUUUUUAAAAGUAUGAUGUCAAUGCAUAGAAUAAAAAUUGCUUUCUGUCAGAUGCUUCUUUAUUCAAGCCCCUAAAGAAAUGUUUUCUUGCCUAAGACAGCUCAUAUUAAAAUGUCUAAAGCCCAAAAGAAGUCUAAUAAAUUUCAGCUUUAUGACUUUGUUUACUCUGGGUGUAGAAAAAGAAGUCUUUUAUACGUAGCCUAGUUUCCAGAACUUCCAGGGUCAAAAGUUAACAAAUUUGGGGAAAACAGAAGAGAAAAGAUAGCAUACAGUAUUCUGUUUUCCUAUUAAAAUGAGGAAAACAAAGGAGUCAUCAGAACUAUAAUUUAUGGGAAAGUGUGCAGACAUCCAUCUGCUUUUAUUGAAAAAAUACCCUGCAGAUGUUGGGCCUAAUUAUGAAUCCUCCAUUUUCUUGGUGAAAAACUUUAGUGGCAUCUCAAUCUCUGAUCGGUAAACUGGGUGUCGUAGCACUUACAAAAUAGAAUUAUUUCAUUGAUCUUUAGCCAUCUAUUAUUUUUUUGUAGAUGAGAGAGCAUUCAGCAUGAAGGCUGUUUCUAUCUGAAUACUAAAUGUUGGUUUCAUUCCCACAGGUUCACAGCAAACAGGAUUCCUAAAUGCCCUUAAGGACAGUCCUGCAAGCGUCCUGGAGGCUGUGGUGUGCUUCUUCUCUGUCUGGUCCAUCGUUGGCCUCUCAGGAUUCCACACCUACUUGAUCAGCUCCAACCAGACGACAAAUGAGGACAUUAAAGGAUCCUGGUCAAAUAAAAGAGGUAAAGAAAAUUACAAUCCCUACAGCUACGGAAAUAUCUUUACCAACUGCUGUGUUGCCCUGUGUGGGCCCAUCUCACCAAGCCUAAUCGACAGAAGAGGGUACAUCCAGCCCGACACGCCGCAGCCAGCAGCACCCUCCAAUGGCAUCACCAUGUACGGGGCCACGCAGUCACAGAGUGACAUGUGCGACCAAGACCAGUGCAUUCAGAGCACCAAAUUCGUUUUGCAGGCCGCGGCCACGCCCCUGCUGCAGAGCGAGCCCAGCCUCACCAGCGACGAGCUGCACCUGCCCGGGAAGCCUGGCCUGGGCACGCCCUGCGCCAGCCUCACACUGGGCCCGCCCACACCGCCCGCCUCCAUGCCCAACCUCGCCGAGGCCACGCUCGCGGACGUGAUGCCCCGGAAAGAUGAGCACAUGGGCCACCAGUUCCUGACGCCUGAUGAGGCGCCCUCGCCCCCCAGGCUACUGGCGGCGGGCAGCCCCCUGGCGCACAGCCGCACCAUGCACGUGCUGGGCCUGGCCAGCCAGGACACCCUGCACGAGGACUCUGUGCGCGGCCUGGUGAAGCUCAGCUCCGUGUGACCCACGUGGCCCCGGGCCGGGGGGCACCAGAGGCUCCUCCACGGGCAGCAGGAGUGAGCGGAGGGGUGUGUCCCACAGCGACUUUCCCAGCCAAUGCCACGGUGGAGAUGACAGCCCCAGGUCUGGGGUGCAGAGACCACUUAGGAUGGCACAGGGUGGCUGGUCCCGGAUGCUGAGAGCUUGGUUUCAUUUGAAUUUUCUUCCCCAACCUGAGUGCUUUGACAACAAUGGAAAUAGAGAAGCGGCUGCUUUCUUUUGGUGACCCUCCAGGGGUGGAAUCGGAGUGUGUCUGCCCGCCCUUGUGACAGACACACGGAAGGCUUCUGACGCUUGUGGCCAGACUGCAAUUGCACUUACGUGUUAUGCUACUAAUAUUUGAAACAGACCUGCCAUUCCAUUUGUUAAUU